GGAAACAUUGGCAGCCACAGCCCGCAGAGAUGUACCUGAAGGAGACAAUAUUAAAUAUAAUGGCAGACUUUGAAAAUAUGAUGAUUGUUGCUCAGAGAUUUCCUUCUUUUGAAACUAACCGGUAAGAGUCCUCAAGAGUGUAGAAGGAAAGGAUCUGAACACACUUUUGUGCAAUAUGCUGCGACGAUUGGUAGGCGAUGAGGUGGCCGAAGUGUGCAAUCUCUGUUCAACCUCAACAAAAGAAACAUAUCAAAGGGUCUAUAAAGACAUUACUGACCAUGAAAUGAGAAGAUGCAUAGGAGAUAGCUUCACCAAUCCCACACAAGAAUUGGUCACAGGCAGGUGCCAAAUUCAAGAUCAUAGAACAGAUACAAAUGGACAUCAG